CUUCAUCAUAUCGCGUUCCUUCGUUUUGCUGUUUGGGCUUUUGGCGUUUCCUUGCCUCUGAUAAAAACUACUCCUUUAGUUUCCGCCUAUGUAUUUUAACCUGAUAAAACUACAGCUGCGUGACUGGACAUAGAACCCCCUGAGAUUGCCUUUGCAAUGAUUGUACACUGACUCACUCUAGAAAAGAUUAUUUAAAGAGCCGAAGGUUGGAACAUCAUUUCAGGUCCAGCCUCAGGCCAACACCUCUCCUCCCCCCUUCCUCCACCCC